GAAGGGUCUCAUUUUGUUGCCCAGGCUGGUCUCCAACUCCAACCUGGGCAACAAAAUGAGACCCUGU
rfam:Gorilla gorilla gorilla genomic chromosome, chr1, whole genome shotgun sequence